rnacentral:ncRNA from 1 species
AAAAAGUUUUAUUCUAGCUAUAGGAUUUCUUUUUUAGUUGGUUCACAUGUAAGAUUUAUCGAGAGUUCACUUACAUCUUAAGGGUGGUGAUUUGAAAUUUAUUCGCAGUGUUUUGUAUUAAGCAUCAAAGAAAUUUGGAGUUAGCAAUUAAAAUAGUUCCGGCAAAAUUCGUGCCAGCCGCCGCGGUUACACGAAAGGGGCAAAGAUAUUUUAUUGGUUUGCAAUUAGUUGGAUAUGAGGUUGAAAUAAAUAUUUUGUUAGGUGGAAUUUUAAAAUUUGUGUUAACCAAAGUUGGUUAAAUGAAGUUGCGAAAUUUAGUGAAAAGACUAGGAUUAGAUACCCUAUUAUUCUAAACGUUAAAGUGAAGCCUGAGUAGUAAGAGAUAGGAUCUUGAAACUCAAAGAAUUUGGCGGUGUUUUAGUCCGUUCAGAGGAAUCUGUCCCGUAAUCGAUAUUCCACGUUUACUUAACUUAAGUUAGUUGACAGCUUGUAUACCGCCGUUAGAAGAGUGAUUCUAGAGAAUAUCCUCAAUUUCCUUAAUUAAGGCUUAUAUCAGGUCAAGGUGCAGCUUAUGCUUAAGGGGAGAUGGAUUACAAUAAGUAUACUUAAACGAAAGGUUAUUUGAAAAAGUGGCUGGAAGGUGGAUUUGAGUGUAAUUUAAUUUAGAGAAAUUAAAUGAAAUAGGCUCUAAAACAAGCACACAUCGCCCGUCGCUCUCGUUUGUUAAGGCGAGAUAAGUCGUAACAAAGUAGGUGUACCGGAAGGUGCCCCUAGAAAGUC